AGUAAUAGCAAGGUUAGUAUCAGUACCCUCUACAAGGCAGUCCUGGUUGGAAACAGGCAGCGUUGUAGUGGGACAUCGGGAACUGAAAUUUGGUGGAGGAAAUAUCUUCCCCAUGUGCAGACCUGAGAACUUAAGUCAUGCGCCUGGAACAAAAUAUUCUGCCACAGUCAAAAAUCACUAUUUUAAAAAUGAUGUGCUGUUUGGAAAUUAUACGACAACCCUGAGAAGGUUUGGCAGUUCAGAGUGGUGUGCCUGUGUGGAAGAGACUCAAUAGCGGCAGUCCCUGUGGUUCCAGAGGUGGUUCCGUCCAGUCACAGGGGCACCUGCCUAUAAUCCUAGCACUGGUGGAGGGAGUUGGACAGACAUAGGGAGCAGGACCCAGGCAGGAAGACUUAGGAUUCCAGGCCAGCCUUGGCUACACUGUGAGAUCUUUCCACCAAAACAAACAAAUACAAGAUAACUGUAGCAAGUCCUUGUAAGGGCUAUAAAUUAGUGGUUCCUUUAAAGGCGACUUAAUUGCCACUUAGAAGGGCUUUUUACUGUGUGAGCCAUCUACUUCACAAAACAGAACUCUAUUAAGGUUUCUCAGAAUGGCCAGGUCUAUAAGCAGGCGGUUUGUCGAGCAGGUUUGAAAGAGACUCCCUCCCACCUUCCAUUCCCCAGUCCUCCAAAAUUCCAGAUAAGCCUAUUUUUUACUCAGAGGGCAAAGUUGGCCUCGGCUUAUGUGCGUUCCCUGCACAAAGGACAUGUUUUCAGCAAGCAGGACCACAUUCCUACCAAGCAAAAAUAUUCCCCCAUAAGCUGAUUGUCCCAGACCUAACGAGCCUUUCUCAAUGAAGCUCUGUUCUGCUGCCUGCAAAUGUGUGGCCUGUGUUCUCAGACAUGACUUGGGACAGGUGUUUGUCUUUGGAGAGGUUGGAGAGGGGCCCUGAGCCAGCUUUGGCGACCACAGAGGCACUUCAUCUAAAGCUACGAGCUUUCUCUACAUUGGAAAAGCAAAUUCUCCAACAAGACCUACUUCAAUAUCCCCCCUCCCCAUAUAAAGUCAUCCUUCUGCAAUCUUCUCACUGUCAAAAAUAGUUGAAAAUUCUAUUAUCAUAAGAGAGGAAGGGGGAGUCAAAAAGAGUGACAUUAAAGAAGCCAGCAUUUGGAAGUACCUUUUGAUGGUCCCUAAUUUAUAAAGGUCACCGCCAGAAGUGACCUUUAUAAAAAGUAUGCCCAUUGACUGCUGACGCUGGCUCUGUGAGCAAUGGGAAGGAAAGAAUAUACG
rnacentral:lncRNA from 1 species